UCAAAACCAAAUUCUAUCUCUCUCUCUCUCUCUUCUCUCGCAUCUCUCUCAGACACCACCACCGCCCCACCAUUCCCGACCACCAUGCACCGCCACGACCACCACCGUGCACCACCACAACCACCGCCAUUCACCACUACAACCACAGCCACUCACCACCAUAACCCCACCCCUUUCACUCUCUUCACAUGAAACCCUAAAAUCGACCUUUAAAUCUGCUAGUGGAGACCCUAAAAUCGACCUUUAAAUCUGCUAGUGGAAACCCUAAAAUCGACCUUUAAAUCUGCUAGUGAAACCCUACAGUCGCCGCACACGGCGUCGACGGAGACGUGGUUUAUCAGCAGGUUCACAGAGAGGGAAAGAGAGGUAGACGCGAAAGAGCGAGAUCGGAGAAAGAAAAAGGAUCUGCAGCGGCGGCGGCGGCUGAGCUUUCUGGCGACGGCACCGCCAUGUACGGCGGCAGUGGCGGUGUUUUAUGUUUCCCGACGGGUUCUCCGAUGGUGACCGAUUAUGAAGAUGGAGGUGGUUCCAUGACGGGUGGCGGAAGUGGGCGGUAACCGGUGGUAGUUUGAUGGGGCUGUAAAGAGAGAGAAAGAGAGAGACGGGUGGUGGCAAGUGAUGGAGUGGGUGGUGGCAUGUGAUGGUGGUGGCGGUGAUGGGUGUCGGCGGUGGUAGAUGUUGACGGUGGUGGGUUGGUGUAGAGAGAGAGAGAAAGGGGGAAGAAUGGAGACACAGUAAAUGUGUUUGUAUAUAUAUUGUUAUAUGUUUUUUUAUAACAUUAAAUUGUUUUCUUUUAUUUUUUAAUAUAAAAUAAGUAUUGGAUCAAAAUGGUAAGUUGUAUAGUUUAAAACAAAAAUGCCAAAGAUACCCCUGACUAGCUGGGGCUU
rnacentral:lncRNA from 1 species